UACGGAGGGUGCAAGCGUUAUCCGGAUUCACUGGGUUUAAAGGGUGCGUAGGAGGGCAGGUAAGUCAGUGGUGAAAUCCCCGAGCUUAACUUGGGAACUGCCGUUGAUACUAUCUGUCUUGAAUAUUGUGGAGGUAAGCGGAAUAUGUCAUGUAGCGGUGAAAUGCUUAGAUAUGACAUAGAACACCAAUUGCGAAGGCAGCUUACUACACGACUAUUGACUCUGAUGCACGAAAGCGUGGGGAUCAAACAGG
rnacentral:rRNA from 1 species